GUAGAGUGGGAUUUGCCAAACAUUCCUCAACACAGCAUGCAGAGACAAUGGCAAUACUGCAUAGAUCAGGCUAAACAGAGAAAACCUACAAUCAGAAGCAAUGAGACCCUAGGAUUAUAAUUCCUCCAAGCUUUGAAGUCUGGUUAGUGACAUCUAUCAGAUAACAUUUGCUCAGGUUAUGUUGUGGAAUGGUGUCAUCAGAAAUCCCAGGAUGGAUUGGAAACCAAGAAACCUCAAAAUCCAAGAUUGACGUGCUUGCAAAUUCAAUUGUCUGAAGAGGGCAGCUCUCGUUUUCCAAGGUGCCCACUGUCACCCAUGUACCAGAGAAGAUGGUCACUGUAUUUUCCCAUGAUGAAAGGCAGAAAGGCAAGCGAUACACCCAUCAUCUGAAGCCUCUUAUGUAUGGGCUUUUAAUUUCAUGUAUGAGUGUUAUACCUCAUUUAUCACCCAAACUGCUGCUCUGAAACUGUUUCUUUUCCCAUGUGCACUCACUAGCAGUUUCUUGGUAACAACUAUGAGUUAUUUGUCACUGAGGAAUAUAAGUUUUGGUUGAUUUUCUCUGAUAUCCUCUUAAUGGUUUGUCACUUCAGCUCAAGAUAUAAUUUCCUGUCAAUUAUGUUGUAGAUUUCCCGUGCAUCUGUCAGCAUGUCACUUCGCAUGCCCUUGUUAUAUCUUAUCUUUGAAAAUUGUCUUCUUUCAAUCACUUUUGGUUUUCUUGCCAUUUCCUUACCUGUGGCCAAAAAUGCAUUGCUUACACACAGUCCAGUGAGGCAUGCUGCUUAUGGAAUCUACAGUCAAACUCUAUUUACUUAUAGAUCCAUUUGUUCUUAGAUGAUAAUUUCUUUAUCCAUGAAUAUCUCAUUAACAUUUAUUAAUAACAUCCAAAGCUCUUCUUUACUUCUAGAUCCUCUCUUGAGGGGAAAACAUAAUAAUACUGAGAGGCAACACACGUCCUCCCAGUUUCUGUCCAUUUUGCCAUCGAUGAAGGCGUGCAAACACCCUGGGAGAAGACAAUGUAAAGACUGGAUUCUCAGGUGUUCACCACCCCAUGCAAGGAUCUAGAAGUAAGGAGAAUUUUGCCUGCAAAAUUAUCAUGCACAUGUCCCACUAUACUUUGAGUUAAGGUGCCCUCUAGAAUUUUCAGCCUGUAAGUGACUCUGUUCAUAUGAUGUUACUAUGAGAGCCUCAGAAAAAUAAAUCCAACCUUAUGACUUAACUAUUUUUAAACAAAGAUAAAAAAAAAAACAUUUUCCUCAUUUACUUUCUAUUGUGAUAAGUAGCAUGAACAAAAGCAAUGUGAGGAGGAAAGGUUUAUGCCCUUUUAUACUUUAAUGUCUAUCAUUAAGGGAAGACAAAUCAGGAACCUGGGGCCUGAUGGAGACAGUUCCUUGCUUGGGGUUUUCUUGUGAGUAUAAAAUUAACAAGAAAUAAUUAGUAGAGCCAUUCAAAUGAUAAUCUAUUGUAGAAUCCAACUUAUAAGCCUCAUGUGAAAAACCUUUGUUUUCUAUGUUUAAAACCUGGGAAAGAUUCUCCCUAAGCCCUAGAGCACAGAAUCCUUAGGGGAGUGACUCUCAAGCCUCAUCACAUACAAAGACAAAUAAAAAUACUUGCAGGCAUUUUCAUAAAUGCAGGUAUCAUAGAUGAAUUUAUUUCAGUCCCAUAUCCAGGAUGUUAUGGAGGGGAUAUCUAGUUCAUAUAAUCUGUCUAGAUAAUUCUUUUGAUUGGUGAGGUGUAGGAAGCACUCAGGUAAGGAACUGAGUAAUGGAGAAGAAACUUCAAUGAUUGAGACAUAUUAUUCUUAGGAAGAAGAUCAUUCCAUAUAGCUUUUACUCCCUUGCCUCCAAUUUCAUUGAUGUUAAGAUGGAAUAAGCUAAUCUAAAAACCUCUUUCCUGAACUUCAUUCUUAUAAAGCAAAAGAGAUAGGGACCUUGGGAGGGAGUGCAUAUAAAACACCUCUUAGAGCUUCAUCAGUCAAGGAUUUGAAAUCUUGAUGCAGCUGAGUACUUGAGGAGAUCAGAUUCCAUCAGUAUUCAUUCUGCAGACUUGCAGAGCACCUACCAACGAGCCAAUUAAAGUGGACACAGUAAAGGAGAGUUGUGCUUCGCUGACUAGAGCUUCUGAAAAGGGAGAUUGCCCAAGAUGGAAGAUCGGGAGGCUUUGAAAUGUAAUUUUGAAAAUAUGACCUCAGGCAGCUAUAGAAACCAAUAGGCCUGCACAAGGAGCCCUCAUACGAAUCCAGAUUCUAAAUAUCAAGUGCAAAAUAUGAAAGGAGGGACACAUAAUUGAAACUACAAAAGAAGAGCAUGACACUAUGAAAACAGGGUGAGAAGCCUGAACCCUUUGAAGUAUCAAAGCAAGUAUUAUGGUUUCCACUCAGAGAUAAAAACUAAAGCUAUGGAAGAUUAAGUAACUUGCUUGCGUCUCAUAUCUAAAUGAAUAAACCAAAGUCCUGUUUCUUUCCCUUAUCACCUUACUACCCAAGGUGAACACCCUCACACCCUAUGGCAUAAACCUAAGGGGUCACAUGUUUUUCUGUAGAAAGCAAGGCCAGAUUCUAUUCCACUUCGUGUACAUGGAUUUGUUCUACAUAAAACAGACAAGACAAUACUCACAAGUCUUCAGAAAAAUCUUUAAUCUGAGACAUGCUAUAAUAUAAUUUCUAAAGAAAAGGGCUAUUAAUGCAUCUUCUAAUACCAAAAGCCAAGACAAAUCAUGUCACUAUAUUUUUAUUUUCCUGAAGUCAAUUUUUAUAACCUUCAAUAUGGUUUGAAUCAUUAUAGUCAUCUGCUUGGUUUUGAAAGGAUGUUUGAAUGUCCUUUAGUCUCAGGCCUGAGAGUUUGGAAAUUAAUCUCUUUUCAUGACCAACUCAUGACAUUGCCUUAUGCCAAGUUAUGGUUAUAACUUAGGCUUUUAAAAGAAAGUCUUAGUUUAGUUUUGAUGGAAAUCAGUAAAACAUCACUGAACACAGCUUCAUGACCAUAAAUGAAACCAGGCUGUGGCUAUAAAACACCUAGACUUGGACUUCUAGAUCAUUAGCUGACUUUUAAUGUAUAUUGGACAAGAUCAAAGGGCUAGGUAAUUACCUAAUCAAUCCUCCCCAAAAGUCUUUGUGCUAGAUGGCUAAUAUCAUUAAACUCAUUUUACCAAUGGG
ensembl:lincRNA Gm43016 predicted gene 43016